AUUGAACGCUGGCGGAAUGCUUUACACAUGCAAGUCGAACGGCAGCACGGGGCAACCUGGUGGCGAGUGGCGAACGGGUGAGUAAUACAUCGGAACGUGCCCAAUCGUGGGGGAUAACGUAGCGAAAGUUACGCUAAUACCGCAUACGAUCUACGGAUGAAAGCGGGGGAUCGCAAGACCUCGCGCGAAUGGAGCGGCCGAUGUCAGAUUAGGUAGUUGGUGGGGUAAAGGCUCACCAAGCCGACGAUCUGUAGCUGGUCUGAGAGGACGACCAGCCACACUGGGACUGAGACACGGCCCAGACUCCUACGGGAGGCAGCAGUGGGGAAUUUUGGACAAUGGGCGAAAGCCUGAUCCAGCCAUUCCGCGUGCAGGAUGAAGGCCUUCGGGUUGUAAACUGCUUUUGUACGGAACGAAACGGCUCUUUCUAAUACAGGGGGCUAAUGACGGUACCGUAAGAAUAAGCACCGGCUAACUACGUG
rnacentral:rRNA from 1 species